UACGGAGGGUGCGAGCGUUGUUCGGAAUUAUUGGGCGUAAAGGGCGCGUAGGCGGUGCGGUAAGUCACCUGUGAAACCUCUAGGCUCAACCUAGAGCCUGCAGGCGAAACUGCCGUGCUUGAGGGUGGGAGAGGUGCGUGGAAUUCCCGGUGUAGCGGUGAAAUGCGUAGAGAUCGGGAAGAACAUCGGUGGCGAAAGCGCUCUACUGGACGGUAUCUGACACUGAGGGACGAAAGCUAGGGGAGCGAAUGGG
rnacentral:rRNA from 1 species